rnacentral:misc_RNA from 1 species
CCACUAGAUUUCGGGGGCGGCGUCCCCGGCGAGAUGCCGGGGGGAGUCUGCCGUCCCCCAACGCCGAGCCGUCCUCAAAAGAGUCGGGCUCGAGGGUUGAAAUGACGCUCGAACAGGCAUGCCCGCCAGAAUGCUGGCGGGCGCAAUGUGCGUUCAAAGAUUCGAUGAUUCACUGAAUUCUGCAAUUCACAUUACUUAUCGCAUUUCGCUGCGUUCUUCAUCGAUGCCGAAUACGUAAC